CGGAGGGGCUAGCGUUGUUCGGAAUGACUGGGCGUAAAGGGCGCGUAGGCGGUUUUUUAAGUGAGGCGUGAAAGCCCUAGGCUUAACCCAGGAGGUGCGUUUCAGACUGAAAGGCUUGAGUGCGAGAGAGGAAAGUGGAAUUCCUAGUGUAGAGGUGAAAUUCGUAGAUAUUAGGAAGAACACCAGUGGCGAAGGCGGCUUUCUGGCUCGCAACUGACGCUGAGGCGCGAAAGCGUGGGGAGCAAACAGGAUUAGAUACCCUGGUAGUCCACGCUGUAAACGAUGAGUGCUAGACGUUGGAGGGAAACUUUCAGUGUCGCAGCUAACGCAAUAAGCACUCCGCCUGGGGAGUACGGUCGCAAGAUUA
rnacentral:rRNA from 1 species